CCUACGGGAGGCAGCAGUGGGGAAUCUUGCGCAAUGGGGGAAACCCUGACGCAGCGACGCCGCGUGCGGGAUGAAGGCCUUCGGGUUGUAAACCGCUUUCAGCAGGGACGAGGCCGCAAGGUGACGGUACCUGCAGAAGAAGCUCCGGCUAAAUACGUGCCAGCAGCCGCGGUAAUACGUAUGGAGCAAGCGUUAUCCGGAUUCAUUGGGCGUAAAGCGCUCGUAGGCGGUCUGUUAGGUCGGUAAGUUAAAUCCGGGGGCUCAACCCCCGUCCGCUUCCGAUACCGGCAGACUUGAGUUUGGUAGGGGAAGGUGGAAUUCCUAGUGUAGCGGUGGAAUGCGCAGAUAUUAGGAAGAACACCGGUGGCGAAGGCGGCCUUCUGGGCCAUAACUGACGCUGAGGAGCGAAAGCUAGGGGAGCGAACAGGAUUAGAUACCCUGGUAGUCC
rnacentral:rRNA from 1 species